rnacentral:sRNA from 1 species
AUUGACGCCAUGAGCGCGCUGCUGCGGCUGCUGCGCACGGGUGCCCCAGCCGCUGCGUGCCUGCGGUUGGGGACCAGUGCAGGGACCGGGUCGCGCCGUGCUAUGGCCCUGUACCACACUGAGGAGCGCGGCCAGCCCUGCUCGCAGAAUUACCGCCUCUUCUUUAAGAAUGUAACUGGUCACUACAUUUCCCCCUUUCAUGAUAUUCCUCUGAAGGUGAACUCUAAAGAGGAAAAUGGCAUUCCUAUGAAGAAAGCACGAAAUGAUGAAUAUGAGAAUCUGUUUAAUAUGAUUGUAGAAAUACCUCGGUGGACAAAUGCUAAAAUGGAGAUUGCCACCAAGGAGCCAAUGAAUCCCAUUAAACAAUAUGUAAAGGAUGGAAAGCUACGCUAUGUGGCGAAUAUCUUCCCUUACAAGGGUUAUAUAUGGAAUUAUGGUACCCUCCCUCAGACUUGGGAAGAUCCCCAUGAAAAAGAUAAGAGCACGAACUGCUUUGGAGAUAAUGAUCCUAUUGAUGUUUGCGAAAUAGGCUCAAAGAUUCUUUCUUGUGGAGAAGUUAUUCAUGUGAAGAUCCUUGGAAUUUUGGCUCUUAUUGAUGAAGGUGAAACAGAUUGGAAAUUAAUUGCUAUCAAUGCGAAUGAUCCUGAAGCCUCAAAGUUUCAUGAUAUUGAUGAUGUUAAGAAGUUCAAACCGGGUUACCUGGAAGCUACUCUUAAUUGGUUUAGAUUAUAUAAGGUACCAGAUGGAAAACCAGAAAACCAGUUUGCUUUUAAUGGAGAAUUCAAAAACAAGAAGAUCUAAGUGAAUCAACAAGGCUGAAAAAUAUAUAUUUCCAUCUAUGUGUCUAUAGCUCCUACGUCUUGGAAAAUGAAGGAAUUUCAUGAUCAGACUAAUUUUGCAAAUUGUGUACAUAGAAAAACUUUCUAUUUACUGUUUUGUGGAGGAGAAAGUUACUCGCCCUUAAUGUAAAUCCAUAGGGGCCUCCCUCCUAAGUGUUCAUUCUACCACGACGGAACUAAGCUGCUUAACAAUUGAAAGGACACCUGAAUUAUCUUACUGUCAUAGGAUUUUUCUAUUAGAAUACCACUGAGUUACCACAAAGUAUCUCUAAUAUGACACAAAUGGAGAGAAUAGACCAAAGAGUUAAAGUCUAAAGCAUGGAAUUUUUUUUAAAGUUAUUACCACUAGGUAAAUUGAAUAUUUGAAACCAACUUUUAAGUGGAUACCAGUAAGUAUGUUUUAUAAGUGAAAUAAGGCAUGUUAAUGAAAACUUAAAAUUUAUAAUGGGUAUUUUGCUGUAAAAGAAUUGAUUGCUGGACUCAGUGUUUUUUUGAAAGCACAUUAAAAGAAUCCUUC